rnacentral:rRNA from 1 species
AUUGAACGCUGGCGGAAUGCUUUACACACGCAAGUCGAACGGCAGCACGGACUUCGGUCUGGUGGCGAGUGGCGAACGGGUGAGUAACAUAUCGGAACGUAUCCAAUAAUGGGGGAUAACGAGUCGAAAGAUUCGCUAAUACCGCAUACGCCCUACGGGGGAAAGCUGGGGACCUUCGGGCCUGGCGUUAAUGGAGCGGCCGAUAUCUGAUUAGCUAGUUGGUGAGGUAAAGGCUCACCAAGGCGACGAUCAGUAGCUGGUCUGAGUGGACGACCAGCCACACUGGAACUGAGACACGGUCCAGACUCCUACGGGAGGCAGCAGUGGGGAAUUUUGGACAAUGGGCGCAAGCCUGAUCCAGCCAUUCCGCGUGAGUGAAGAAGGCCUUCGGGUUGUAAAGCUCUUUCGCAAGGGAAGAAAACUUAGCCACUAACAUUGGUUGAGGUUGACGGUACCUUGAUAAGAAGCACCGGCUAACUACGUGCCAGCAGCCGCAGUAA